rnacentral:rRNA from 1 species
UACGAAGGGGGCUAGCGUUGCUCGGAAUCACUGGGCGUAAAGCGCACGUAGGCGGAUUGUUAAGUCAGGGGUGAAAUCCUGGAGCUCAACUCCAGAACUGCCUUUGAUACUGACGGUCUUGAGUCCGGGAGAGGUGAGUGGAACUGCGAGUGUAGAGGUGAAAUUCGUAGAUAUUCGCAAGAACACCAGUGGCGAAGGCGGCUCACUGGCCCGGUACUGACGCUGAGGUGCGAAAGCGUGGGGAGCAAACCGG